AUACGUAGGUGGCGAGCGUUAUCCGGAAUUACUGGGUGUAAAGGGCGCGUAGGCGGGCGUGCAAGUUAGAUGUGAAAACCUGGGGCUCAACUCCAGACUGGCAUCUAAAACUGCACAUCUUGAGUGUCAGAGGGGAAAGUGGAAUUCCUGGUGGAGCGGUAAAAUGCGUAGAGAUCAGGAGGAACACCAAUCGCGAAGGCAGCAUACGAGGCAUCAUCUGACGCUGAUGCACGAAAGCGUGGGGAUCAAACAGGAUUAGAUACCCUGGUAGUCCACGCUGUAAACUAUGAUAACUAUCUUUUAGCGAUACACAGUUAGAGGGUACGAGAAAUCAUUAAGUUAUCCACCUGGGGAUUACGUUCGCAAGAAUGAAACUCAAAUGAAUUGACGGGG
rnacentral:rRNA from 1 species